rnacentral:rRNA from 1 species
CUCCGGUUUAUUAGGCCCUAGUGAGUAGGAGGGUCGCAACGGUGAGCGCAGAAGGAUUGGGCGUGGGCCCGUCUGGAGCCGCCGUUGGUGCAGAUCUUGGUGGUAGUAGCAAAUACUCCAGCGAGACCCUGGAGGACUGACGUGGAGAAGGGUUUCGUGUGAACAGCCGUUGCACACGAGUCAGUCGAUCCUAAGCUCUAGGCGAAAGCCGAUGUUGAUGUGCUGUAUGUUUUGAAGAAUCAGAGAGAGCGGGGAAAGAAUUCAAAUUGGAUUCAAGUACUCAAUCGAUUUUUUUCGAUAGAUUCGUACCACAGCCAACUGAGCGAAAGGGAWUCCGGUUCCUAUUCCGGAACCUGGCAGCGGAACCGUUAAUAUGUCGUGCCCUCGUAUGAGAGUUCGUCGGGKWAMCCCAAAAUGACUUGGAGACGCCGUCGGAAGAUCCGGRAAGAGUUUUCUUUUCUGCAUAAGCGUUCGAGUUCCAUGGAAUCCUCUAGCAGGGAGAUAUGGUUUGGAACGCGAAGAGCACCGCAGUUGCGGCGGUGUCCGGAUCAUUCCCUCGGACCUUGAAAAUCCAAGAGAGGGCCACGUGGAGUUGUCGCGCCAGAUCGUACCCAUAUCCGCAGCAGGUCUCCAAGGUUAAGAGCCUCUAGUCGAUAGACUAAUGUAGGUAAGGGAAGUCGGCAAAUUGGAUCCGUAACUUCGGGAUAAGGAUUGGCUCUGARGACCGGGGCGUGUCGGGCUUGAUUGGGAAGCGGGNUUCUGCUGACGUGCCGGGCCUGGGCGACGGUGAAKUUUGUUAGCUGGGCCUUGAACGCCAUGCGGUGCGUCUUUGCGUCUGUCCUCUCGGGGACGGUGUAAUGAUACGUGUCGAUAUGGCCCUUGGCUCGGCGCUUACGAGCCCAGCUCGGUCCCGUGCCUUGGCGUCCCGCGGAACUUUCUCGCAGCGAAGCCUGCCUGUCGGCCGUGGCGGCGAUACGUUAACGCGUGUCGUUGCUACUGGUCUUGCUGGGCGGUGUCUUCUUCGGCCGCCAUUCAACGGUCAACUCAGAACUGGCACGGACUAA